rnacentral:lncRNA from 1 species
GCUUGUAUAAAGUUAUUUUGGGUUAGAAUAUGUUAUAAUACAAUGAAUUUGAUUGAUUAGAAGUGUUAGAGAUGCAUGAAGAAUGUUUAAAAGUGAGAAGAAAGGCUUGUUGAUAUUUGGUCCCAAAUGGGAUAAGAACCGAAAACCAUUGCUUUGAGGCAGUGAAUUGCUUGUAUAAAGUUAUUUUGGGUUAGAAUAUGUUAUAAUACAAUGAAUUUGAUUGAUUACAAGUGGUAGAGAUGCAUGAAGAAUGUUUAAAAGUGAGAAGAAAGACUUGUUG